UGCUAAAUGAACAUCUGAGACUCUUAUUCAGAAGGUUUGAGAUGGGGCCCAAGAUGCUUUUCUGACAAGUUUCCUGGUGAUGCAAUGUUGCUGUUGGGGAAACCUCCAUUUGCCUUUCAGGGGGACUCAGGCAAAGACACCAAUAUGAUCCUUUCAUAUUUCCUAUCUUUUGAAGAUUUUGCAGACUCAAAGAUUCAAGAUGAUAAAUUCAUUUGAAACUGAAGAUAUCUGCAAAAGGGAAUGUCUGAGAUUUGUUGGCUUCAACUGAACAAUUAGUCACCAAGAAUUGAAAUUACCCAUACGUGAUUCAUGAAAUGCUAUCAAGCUGCCAUCAUUUCUGGAGGCAGAGAACUACUAGAUAACAUCUUUGAGAAACACUGAGGAUUUCAGUGACUAUUUUAUAAGAGGGAGGCACUUAUUUUUUUCUGUCUCGGGAAAGUAUCAAAAAAUCUUGGCAUUUAUCG